AUGAUGACUGGAUCAGUUCUGUCCGAGGGGCAGAGGAAUGAUAGUUUGUCUUGCCUACUACUGAGUGCUUCUGUGGAUCAGACGAUUCUCUUAGGGGAGUGGAAUGUGGAGAGAAACAAAGUGAAAGCCCUGCACUGCUGCAGAAGCCAUGCCGGAAGUGCGGAUUCUAUAGCUGUUGAUAGCACGGGAACUAAAUUUUGCAGUGGCUCCUGGGAUAAGAUGCUAAAGAUCCGGUCCACAGUUCCUACAGAUGAAGAAGAUGAAAUGGAGGAAUCCACACAUCGACCAAGAAAGAAACAGAAAACAGAGCAGUUGGGACUAACAGGGACUCCCAAUAGUGACCCUCUCUGGCCGCAAGGAAGCCAUUUCUUCGGUUCUACGGUCAGAUGCCGAAGAAAUCUGCAGGGCAUCUUGGGGCCACACAAUUAGGAUGUGGGAUGUAGAGUCUGGCAGUCUUACGUCAACUUUGACAGGAAAUAAGGUGUUUAAUUGUAUCUCCUAUUCUCCACUUUGUAAACGUUUAGCAUCUGGAAGCACAGAUAGGCAUAUCAGACUGUGGGAUCCCCGAACUAAAGAUGGUUCUUUGGUGUCGCUGUCCCUAACCUCACAUACAGGCUGGGUCACAUCAUUAAAGUGGUCUCCUACCCAUGAGCAGCAGCUGAUUUCAGGUUCUUUAGAUAAUAUCGUCAAACUGUGGGAUACAAGAAGUUGUAAAGCUCCUCUCUAUGAUCGAUCUGGCUGCUCAUGAAGACAAAGUUCUGAGUGUAGACUGGACAGACACUGGGUUACUUCUGAGUGGAGGAGCAGACAAUAAAUUGUAUUCCUACAGAUAUUCACCUACUACUUCUCAUGUGGGGGCAUGA